UGUCCGGUAUAACGGUAAAUUUAUUUGUAAUUUUUUGUGUGGAUUAAUUACUUUCACCACGUGCUUGCCAAAUUUAAAUGAAUUAGCCACGGAAGGUAGGUUUACAUAAGAAUCUUGUUCUCAUGAUGUAUUAAGCAUAAUUUGCAUAUCUUAUAUAUAAUCUAAAGUUACAGUAUAUAAAUAUGUGGAAAAAGUAUAUUUGUACUUUCACUUUCAAAACUCAUUGAAAAAAAACCAUCUAUCAAACAAUUUAAGUACAAGGAGUUCUGUAAAAUACACAUAAUAUUGCAAAAUUGACAAUAAUGCUGUCAAAUAUAAGAAUAUAUCUUUUCUAGUAUUCCUUUACCUUCAAUAUUAAUAUAUUUUUUUGUAAUAAUAAUCCUAUUUUAAAUUCUGACCUAAAAACAUUAUAUAUGUUGAUAUUUUGUGUUCUAUAUUCUGACAAAUAAUGUAUUUUGUGAAUAGUGAAUACAAUCACUGUAAGUAAAAAGUUUAUUUCAUAAUAAUGUUCAUCAUAAAUUUUAUAUCCCCAGAUUAAAUUUUUUUCAGUGAGAAGGUGUCUACCAAUUUUAACUAAUUCAAGUAUCUUAUAUAUUUCCCCCAAAAACUCAUCUAAAAAGUGGCAUGUUACAAAAAAAUGUUUAUAAUCUUCUGUAACGUUACAAAAAUUACAAGUAGAGUUAUGGCAUAUUUUCCAUUGUUUUAAUAGGACUUUGUUUGGAAGAAUAAAGUGUAAUAAUUUCCAUUUGCACAUUUUCAGUUUAUUAUCUUUUAAGUAAGUGUGAAUAAAUUUUUGCACAUAUUGAGCUUCAAUUUGUAUGUUUUCACAUUUCAAAAUUCUAUUCCACUUAUGAUAUCCUAUUGGAAAUUCUUUAUCAUAUUCUAUCAAAAUUGAAUAAAUUUUCUUUGAAUCUAAUUUUUCUAGUUUAUGUUGGCAAUUAUUUUUUUCACUUAUAUAUAGUGAAUUAUUUAUUGAAACACUAGUUUUUAUUGAACAUUCUUCAUUUAAUAUUUUUAACCAUUCUUUUGGAAUUGCUUUUCUUAAUCUUGAGAAUUCAGCUAUCCAGUUUGAUUUAUUUUUUAACUUUAAACUUAUAAUUUUUUCUGAAAAGACUCCAUUUUCAUCAAUGAUAUCAUUUAUAUGGAUGAUAUUACUGUCUAUCCAAUUUUGAAAAAGAAGUGUUUUCUUUUGAAAUUUAAUUAAUUGAUUUCCCCAAAUAACUUCUUGGCGGAUAAGUCUGUAAUUAUUUGGAUUUUUAGUUUUAUUAUUUUUAUUUUUUAACCAUACUUUAAUCAUAUCAAGAUAAAAUUCUGGUAGCUCUUUAGUGCUGGUAUAGAAUAUAUAUUAUUAGUAUUCAUCCUUAAGAUAAGUAGAUUGCUACCAAAUUUAUUUAGAUAAAAUUUUGGUAUAACCAUCCAAUUAAGAAAUUUAUCAGCAGUUAAUCUUUUUAUCCAACCUAUCUUUAUAGAUUCUAUAUAUUUAUCUAUAUUUACCAUUUUUAAUCCACCAUCUAGUUGGUUAUAGCCUAAUACGGUGCGUUUAACUUUUUCUGUCUUAUUGUUCCAUAAAAAUUCAUAUAUGAUUUUUUUAAAUUUGUCCAAGUAUUCUUUGCUUAAGGUUGACACUGUAGCCAAAUAAGUGAUUAUAGGAAUAAUUAAAGAUUUAAUAACUGCUAUUCUUCCUAUCAUGGUUAAGUUUCUUUUUUUCCAGUUUGAUAUAAUUGUUACAGACUUUUCUAGCUGUUUAUCAUAAUUUAGUUUUUGACACUCUUUUUUAUUAUGCCCAAAAUAUAUACCGAGACUUUUAAUUGGUUUUUCUGUAAAGUUAAUAUUUUCAUAUUUUCUUUACAAUGUUUUUGUUUCCCUAGCCAAAUACCCUCAGUUUUAGAUCUGUUAAGUUUUAAUCCUGAAAGUGAUCCAAAUUUUUCAAUCAUGUUAAGAGCUUUUGAAAUAUCUUGUUUUGAUUUGAGAAAAAGAGUGGUGUCAUCUGCUAGUUGACUAAUUUUAAAAGUGUGGGUUUUUCCAUCUAUCUUGAUUUCAAAUCCUUUUAGGUUAUGGUCUUGCCUAAUUUUACAAGCAAUAAUCUCAACAGCAAUAACAAAAAUUAUCGCACUGCACGGGCAGCCUUGACGUAUACCACGAUAUAUACUCAUGGGUUUAGAGAUCCAUCCAUUGUUUAAAACUUAACUUUUUAUGUCAGUGUAUAAAAGUUUUAUCCAUCUCAUCAUAGAAUUUUUAAAUCCAAAUUUUUGUAAAGCAAAGAACAGAAAGUCCCAUUCUAAUGAAUCGAAUGCUUUCGAAAAAUCUAAAAAUAAUAAGGCACCCUCUAUAUUAAAUUUGUCUGCAUAAUCUAUGACAUCUUCAAUUUGUCUAAUAUUAUAUUCUAUGUAUCUGUUUUUAACAUACCCAUUUUGGUCUCCAUGAAUAAUUUGUGGUAAUAUUUUAAUUAUCCUUUGAGCAAGUGAAUAACAACUAAUUUUGUGUCAACAUUCAAUAAUGUUAUGGUCUAUAAUUGUCUAAACUGAGAGGAUCAUUUUUUAUGUAAAAGGAAAUAACUCCUAAUUUUUGUGAAUUGUUAACUCCCUUUAUCAAAUGAAAGAUUAAAAGUUUUGACUGCAAACUCUUUUAAAUGUUCCCAAAAAGUUCUAUAAAAUUCGACACUUAACCCAUAAAUUCCGGGGGCUUUAUUAAGUUUCAUUUUAAAUAAAGAAUCUGUGCAUUCUUGAGUGCUUAAUAACCUUCCAUACUAUCGUUUCUUUAUCUGUUAGGACAUGAUCACAUUCUGUAUUCAUAACAUAAUCUUUAAUAGAAUUUUAUCGGAUUUGAACUUUUAUAAAUUUCUUCAUAAAACUCUUUUUCAAUAUUAAGUAUUUCUGUAGGAUGUAUAUGUAUCACCCCUUCUUUGUCUCUGAGCGCUGUAAUGGUUUUUCUUGUUUGCCUAGCUUUUUCUAGUCCCAAGAAGAAUUUAGUGUUUUUUCGCCUUCUUCUACCCAUUUAAUUCUGGAUCUUAUUUGUGCUCCUUUUGUUUUUGAAUCAUAUAAUUUACCAAGUUUUUCUUCUAUAAUAUUAAUUUCCUCUUUAAGAGAGUUAAUAUCAUCCAUUUUACAUUUUUUGUUUAUACCCUCAUUUAAUUUCUUCAAUUUGUUUUUCUAAAAUAUGUAUAUCUUUACAUUAUUUUUGUGCUUUUCUUUUACAGAAUGCAAUGGUAUGGUCUCUUACCUCAGUUUUAAAAGAUCCCACUUGACCCCAAUAUCAUUGGUGAGUAAAAUUUUUUUUCAUAUUGUUUGAUCAGAAUUUUGAUAAGGUUUUGAUAUUCUUCAUUUUCUAAAUACUAUUAUUAAUUUUAAAGUAUCCUUUACAUUUUUUGUCUGAUCGACCUUUUAUUUUUUAUAGAAAUUGCCUGAUGGUCUGUAUGAGUUAUAAUAGCUGGCCUAAUAUCAGUAGAUUCUAUUUUAGUUCCUUAUUUCAGGACAGGUUAAGAAAAAAUCUAUUCUAGAUGCUUCAUUUAAAUUAUUUUUACGUCGCCAAGUGAAUUGUAUUUCCUUGCCAUGAAUCUCUCUCCAAAUAUCACUUAGUUUUUGAGUUUUAAUUAAAGAUUUAAGGCUAAAAACUGGUUUUGUUUGUUUUAAUUUUGUGUUGACACUUUAUUUUUUUAUCUAUUUUUGUUAAAGUAUCAUUCAUAUCUCCUCCAAUUAUAACCAUUCCUAAACUAUUUUUUGUAAUUAUUUCUUUAACUUUUUUGAAAAAAAUAUUUCUGUUUUUAGGUAUAUUUGGUGCAUAGACAUUUACUAAAGUGUAAAUACUGUCUUCGAUUUCAACAUUUAUGAAGAGUAGCCUGCCCUCUUUGCUUUUGAAUAUAUUAUAAAUUUGCAUUCUAAAUCAUUAUUAAUAAAAAUUGAAACUCCUCUGGACUGUGAGGUUCCAAAGCUAUGAUAUUGUUGACCUUUAAUUUCAGAAUUUAAGUCUUUCUCUAAAUCUUCAGUGAAAUGACUUUCCUGAACAAACAAAAUAUUACAUUUUUGAUAUUUCAUCCACAAAUAUAAUCUAUGUCUUGUUAUCUUUACUCUGAGACCUUGACAAUUUAAAGAACAUAUGUGAAUUGUUUUUGUCAUAAGUCUUUUGUUUUUAGAAUUUUAUUUACUUGAAUGUUUAUUGAGCCUAAACAAUUACAUUCUUGCAUUCUCAUAGUUAUUAUUUUUUUUAAAGUAUACACAUAUUUCAAAAAUAUACAGUAUUCAUUUUUCAUUAAUACACAAGUUAAAAAUAAUAAUACAAGCCAGAGAUUUACAAAUGAAUUUGUUACAGAACAUUUGAUCAAAAUCAAAUACACACCAUCAGAGAAAUAUAGGUCUCUAACAUUAUUAAUACAAAUUGUAUGCUGUGCAAAAAAUCAUGUCAAUGUCAAUUUCAAUAUAAUAAACAAUUGAUUUCUUUCAUUUUGUAACACCUGUUGUUUUCUAUUUUUAGACACCAGACAACGUAGGUGUAUGCAUGGUUGGAGAUACAAGAGUGAUUGAAUCUUAUCGUGUGAAUUUUGGAAUAGUGAUUUCGUAAAACUUAGUGU
rnacentral:lncRNA from 1 species